GUUUCCAACAGCGAAUCUCUGCUGUUUGGAAGGCACGAUGGCGCCUCCAGGCCCCGGGAUCAUGAAGCAGACUUAAGUCUAAGACUAAACUUGGACUUAAGUCUUAAGAUUUUACUUAGCUAAGACCGCAAUCUUAAGUGGAUCAUGAAACGUGCUAAGCAUAAUCUUAGCUGAGACUAAACUUAAGUCGAAAUCUAUAGCAACGCGCGCGCUGAUUCGCGUAUUUGCGGUAAUCCAUUGGAACUCUUCAGCGCGGGAAACCAUCUUCUGUCGUCUGCUGUCAAUGUAAACAAUGGAAUCUGUCAACAGAGGGAGAAAGUCAAAUUGGACCGGGGAGGAGGAGGUUAUGCUCGUUGAAGAGGUUUCCAACAGCGAAUCUCUGCUGUUUGGAAGGCACGAUGGCGCCUCCAGGACACAGCAGACGAAGAGCAAAGUUUGGCAAGACAUUGCCAAUCGCCUGAAUGCCAGAAACACAUCACUGCAGAGAAAGGUGCCGGAAAUUAAAAAGAAAUACCAAAACAUCAAGCAGAAAG